CCUGAUGUCACUUCCUCUUCCACAGAGACGAUCUUUAAUCUCAAUCCGGAACAUGAAUGGCCCAGCAUCACUGCUGCUCAAAGAGCUGAUUUUCAAAGAACAGUCAUUUUUGCGCAAAUCACCAAUGAGAGUGCGACCUUUGAAUGAGUCAAUGAUUUUUGAGGGUAGCUGAACGUACAGGGAAUCAGCACACAUGAUCCAGACAAACCCACCGCUGAUUCUGGCAUUUUAGCGCUCCAUUCCCCAGCAUUAGCAGAUGACACUGAAAGAAGAAUAAAUCAAAAUUAUUAUUAUUUUCUUGACAAUUUAGUGAUCAAUUAAAAUAUUUUAUCUAAUCUUACAAAUGGCAAUUGUAAUGUUAUACCAGUGACAGUACAUCAUAAUGAAACAUUGUCUAACAGUUAUCCUUUUGUUAGCAUGGGUCUAAAUACUUUUCCAAGACACUCAUCUCAGUACACCUAAUAGUUUCUUCCCCAUAGAUGACUGGAAGUACACUGUAAUUCCU